rnacentral:lncRNA from 1 species
GAGGAACAGAGAUAGACAAUCAGGCAGACAAGUCUUUGCAGGCUUUCGGAAAACCCCCUGUUUUCGUAGCACAAGGCUGUAAGUGUGCUGGAAGCCUUGCCGACUCUCUUCGCCUUUGUACCACAUUGCUCAGAGCUUAUCUCUUGAUUUCAUGUCCAGGAGGCAUUUGGGGAGUGGAGAGAGCAGAACUUGCAUGCAUUGAACUGGUAGUCCUGUCUUCCAAGUGCAGCUAAAGUAAGUUGUCCAACUUGCAUCAUUACACUGAUAGUCACAACUUACGUGAAUUGUACUGCUUUUGCUUUUAUAUCCAUCUUCUUCCCCACAUGAUGCUUCGACAGGCUAACAUGCAGCAUUCCAAGGAUAUAAGUACGCUCCCAAUAACCUG